rnacentral:rRNA from 1 species
GUGCCAGCCGCCGCGGUAAUACGGAGGGUGCAAGCGUUAAUCGGAAUUACUGGGCGUAAAGCGCGCGUAGGCGGUUAGGUAAGUCGAUUGUGAAAUCCCCGGGCUCAACCUGGGAAUUGCAGUCGAGACUGUCUGACUAGAGUGUAGGAGAGGGUGGUGGAAUUCCCGGUGUAGCGGUGAAAUGCGUAGAUAUCGGGAGGAACAUCAGUGGCGAAGGCGACCACCUGGCCUAACACUGACGCUGAGGUGCGAAAGCGUGGGUAGCAAACAGGAUUAGAUACCCUGGUAGUCC